rnacentral:rRNA from 1 species
ACGAACGCUGGCGGCGUGCUUAACCCCUGCAAGUCGUACGGUAAGGCCCUUUCGGGGGUACACGAGUGGCGAACGGGUGAGUAACACGUGAGUAACCUGCCCACAACUUUGGGAUAACGCUAGGAAACUGGUGCUAAUACUGGAUAUGUGCUCCUGCUGCAUGGUGGGGGUUGGAAAGCUCCGGCGGUUGUGGAUGGACUCGCGGCCUAUCAGCUUGUUGGUGGGGUAGUGGCCUACCAAGGCGGCGACGGGUAGCCGGCCUGAGAGGGUGACCGGCCACAUUGGGACUGAGAUACGGCCCAGACUCCUACGGGAGGCAGCAGUGGGGAAUAUUGCACAAUGGGCGCAAGCCUGAUGCAGCAACGCCGCGUGCGGGAUGACGGCCUUCGGGUUGUAAACCGCUUUCAGCAGGGACGAAGCUUUUUGUGACGGUACCUGCAGAAGAAGCACCGGCUAACUACGU